UAGAUCAAUUGAGCAAGAGCUGUUUUUCCGAUUCCUCCCAUCCCAACAAUGGAGAUGGUUUGCAUGCUAUCCUCACUCAACAAUAAGGUUACUAUCUCUUUCUUAACUUCAUCUCGACCAUGUAAUUUUGACACAUCAACAAAAGACGUGCUCUCGAAUCUUCUAGGUUGCUUAACUUCCCUUCUCAUCAACUGAUACCUAUCUUUAUUUUCAGCAAUCUUAUCCAACUCUUGAUUAACUUUUUUUCUUUUGAAAGCAAUGUUAUGACGCCUACUUUACUUGAGGAAAACAACAGCAUGAGAUGAAGGAAAGUACCUUCCUCUUCAGAGUUGUUUCCCAUUUCAAGAAUGGAGUGUUCCACUCAUCCAAUAUGUCCUCCAAGUCAUAAGACUCCUCUUUGACUUUAUUGAGCCAAAGUUUGACACUUUUUUCCUUCAUUUGCUUUUCUUCAGCAUCUGAGAUUUCCGUCAAGCUUUCUGAUGUCUCAGCGACCUCAACUCUUGCUCUGCAUUUUGAACGGUACAUGUUGUCAAUUGCCGCAAAAUUGCAGAAACAAGUGCCGCCGCCAUUUCUUCACCAACUGGGAUGAUGGCUUGAAGGGAAAUUGAAGGAAGAGAUGGUAAAUUAGCGACAAUGGAUGGUAAUGGAAAGGAUUUUUUCUUUUUUGGUGGGAAGUAAUGGAUGCAAGGUUUUUCUUUUUUUUGGGAAAUCUUGCAUUUGGUAUAUGUUAUCUCCCCUAUAGGCCAUACGGUACAAAGAAAUCUUCUUUUAAUUCAUUUAAUUUUUUUUUAUUUUUAAAUUUCAAUAUAACUGAAUUGGCAUUAGUAUUAAACUUUGCUAUCAAGUAAAAAAGGCUUCGAGGCUAGGGUUUAUGACGAUGUUCUAAUUCGAGUUUCUAAAC
rnacentral:lncRNA from 1 species